rnacentral:rRNA from 1 species
UACGUAGGGUGCGAGCGUUGUCCGGAAUUACUGGGCGUAAAGAGCUCGUAGGUGGUUUGUCGCGUUGUUCGUGAAAACCGGGGGCUUAACCCUCGGCGUGCGGGCGAUACGGGCAGACUGGAGUACUGCAGGGGAGACUGGAAUUCCUGGUGUAGCGGUGGAAUGCGCAGAUAUCAGGAGGAACACCAAUGGCGAAGGCAGAUCUCUGGGCCGUAACUGACGCUGAGGAGCGAAAGCAUGGGGAGCGAACAGG